rnacentral:lncRNA from 1 species
CAACGUUGAGGUCGUGCUGUUGAUCGACGUUGAGGUCUUACCGUCGGUCGACGCUGAGGUCGUACCAUCGGUAGAUGCUGAGGUCAUACCAUCAAUCGAUGCUGAGGUCGGAUCACUAAUAUCAGCUUUGUCUACUCUGAUCAGCUCUCCAGAUCCAUACUGUUCAUCAUCUUCUACCAUAUAUCUCAGCAUAGAUCUCAUCUCAAUCCCUAAAUUUGCUGCUGCUUCAUAGAUAAAUUUGUUGAAAAAGGCGCUUGUAAUAUCCUCCCAGCAGGUUAAAGAUCCUAGCUGCAGCUGUCUGAACCAGCAGAAUAAAUCUCCAGAGAGAGAAUAAGGGAAGAUCUUACAGAGUAUGUGGUCUACAGAUAUUUCAUUCUGCUCACUCCUUGAAACUAGAUCCUCAAGCUCUUCGAUGUGGUUUUUGGGAUCUUCACAAAGAAGACCCUGGAAGGGGUCUUGACCUAAC